rnacentral:rRNA from 1 species
ACCCGCCGAACUUAAGCAUAUCAGUAAGCGGAGGAAAAGAAACUAACUAGGAUUCCCCGAGUAGCGGCGAGCGAAAGGGGAGAAGCCCAGCGCCGAAGCCCGCGGCCCUCGGCCGCAGUGCAAUGUGGCGUUUCGGCGGCGUCUCGCCGCGGCCCCUACGGCACGAGUACCUCUGAACGGGUCUGCCCGCAGCGGGUGUCAGGCCUCUACUCGCCGAAUGGGCGGUCGCGGCACGGCGUCGUCGCGGAGUCGGGUUGCUUGAGAGUGCAGCCCAAAGUGGGUGGUAAGCUCCAUCUAAGGCUAAAUACCUAGUGCGAGACCGAUAGCAAACAAGUACCGUGAGGGAAAGUUGCAAAGAACUUUGAAAAGAGAGUUCAAGAGUACGUGAAACCGUUCAGAGGCAAACGGACGGAACUGGGCGAGUUCGCCGCCGCCAUUCAGCCGGCUCGCGCGCCACGUCGAAGCGAGGCGCGCGCCGGUGCACUUGGCGGCGGCGGAGCGCGACGACCGCCUGUCGGGUCGUCAGAAGCCCGGCGGCAAGGUGGCGGCGCGCUUGCGCGCGCCGUGUUAGAGGCCGCCGCGGCGUCGGCAGACCUGGCGGGCGAGGAGCGCCCGCGGUGCACUCCCGCCGCCGAAACGGCGGGAGCGGCUCGCGCGUGCGGGCUGGCGGACGUCGGCGACGAACUGCUCGCAGUUUGGCGUUGCGCGUCUCGCCGGUCGCGCCGCGCGACGCCGCGCAUGCGCGCGGGGUCCGGGUCGCGUGGUUCCCGGCACUCCGUCCGACCCGUCUUGAAACACGGACCAAGGAGUUGAGCACGCGCGCGAGUCGAUGGGCUCUGAGAACCCCAGUGGCGCAGCUAAGGCAAAACGGGCGUGAUCCGGCACUGGCGUGUCGGCGCAACGCCGGCCCGCGGCCGACUCGAUGCGAGUGGCCGCGGCGCAAGAGCGCGCGUGCUCAGACCCGAAAGGUGGUGAACUAUGCUUGAGCAGGGCGAAGCCAGAGGAAACUCUGGUGGAGGCUCGCAGCGAUCCUGACGUGCAAAUCGGUCGUCAAACUUGAGCAUAGGGGCGAAAGACUAAUCGAACCGCCUAGUAGCUGGUUCCCUCCGAAGUUUCCCUCAGGAUAGCUGGCACUCGGAAACAGUGGUUUUAUCCGGUAAAGCGAAUGACUGGAGGCAUUGGGGACGAAACGUCCUCAACCUACUCUCAAACUUUAAAUGGGUAAGAGGCGCGACCCUUCCCUAUCGGGGUCGCGUGCUCGAACAGAGAGUGCCCAGUGGGCCGUUUUUGGUAAGCAGAACUGGCGCUGUGGGAUGAACCAAACGCGCGGUUAGGGUGCCUAACGCACGCUCAUGAGACACCACAAAAGGUGUUGGUUGAUAUAGACAGCAGGACGGUGGCCAUGGAAGUCGGAAUCCGCUAAGGAGUGUGUAACAACUCACCUGCCGAAUCAACUAGCCCUGAAAAUGGAUGGCGCUGGAGCGUGCGACCCAUACCGCGCCGUCGGGGCAACGCGUGCGAAAUGCCAGGCCCCGACGAGUAGGAGGGCGUGUCGGUGGCGCUGAAGCGUAGUGCGCGAGCACGCGUGGAGCCGCCUUCAGUGCAGAUCUUGGUGGUAGUAGCAAGUAUACAAAUGAGAACUUUGUAGACCGAAGUGGAGAAGGGUUCCAUGUGAACAGCAGUUGGACAUGGGUCAGUCGGCCCUAAGAGAUCGGAGAACUCCGUUCUGAACGGGGAGUGCAGAGCACGCGCUCGCCCGAGCCGCGGCUCGCCGUCUGAACUGGGGCGCGCGCGCGCGCACUCGCGUCGAGUGAGGCGCGCGCGCGUCGACGAGCGGCGCGCGCGGUCGGGCACGAGAGAACACACGCAGCCAGAGAGCAGCGAGCAGAGCGCGGGCAAGUGGUCGCGUCCCCGAUGCGAUCGAAAGGGAAUCGGGUUAAUAUUCCCGAACCUGGCAGUGGAGAUUGGGCCCUCGGGCCCCAGUGCGGCGACGCAACCGAACUCGGAGACGCCAGCGUCGAUCCCGGGAAGAGUUCUCUUUUCUUUGUUAGGAGCGGACUCCCUGGAAUUGGCUUGUCCAGAGAUAGGGACGUUGCAUCCGUAAAGCGUCGCGCCUCACGCGGCGUCCGGUGCAUCGGCGUUGGCCCUUGAAAAUCCGAGGAAGGCAGUGUAAUUUUCACUCCAGGCCGUACCCGAAUCCGCAGCAGGUCUCCAAGGUGCACAGCCUCUGGUCGAUAGAACAAUGUAGGUAAGGGAAGUCGGCAAAUCCGAUCCGUAACUUCGGGACAAGGAUUGGCUCUGAGGUGCGGGCUGCUUCGGGUCGCGGCAAGAAGCGGGUCGCGCGUCGGCCGGACUGGGCGUGCCCUCGUCGGGCUUCGCUCGGACCUCUGCCGCGCGCGCGUCCGUGGGCGGCCGUGGCUUUCGCCGGCGCUCGCCUCGCACGGCGGGCGUCGGCUUCGUUCGGCCUAAACGCACGGCACAGAACUGGCACGGACUCUGG